UGGAAAGCUACUCUUCUAUGAAUUAUAUAGAAAAACAUUUAUUAACUUUGCUAUCUCUUUGUGUUUCUUUUUAGAUCUGAACGGUGAUGGCACACAUUUCAGUUACGAGUUGCUCAGUGAGCUGUGGAUUGAUGGAACUAUGAGGGUCCUUGUGAUGUACACCUGGAAGACCCUUCACUACAACUGUGUUCUGAUCAGAGGCCAAAUAAAUGACAUUUGGAACUUCCACUAAGGUACUAUAAGGUAAGAUCUUUGUUGGGGGAGAGGGUUGAGUUCUUUGCUUUAAUAAAAGGAUUUAUGGAUUGAUCAGUGAAAUAGAUUAAUGAGAAAUAGGGAUUUCUAAAUUGGUGU
rnacentral:lncRNA from 1 species